GGACGGGUGAGUAACGCGUGAGUACCUGCCUUUCAGAGGGGAAUAACAUUCUGAAAAGAAUGCUAAUACCGCAUGAGAUCGCAUGGUCAAAGGAGCAACGCUGAAAGAUGGACUCGCGUCCGAUUAGCUAGUUGGUGAGAUAAAGGCCCACCAAGGCGACGAUCGGUAGCCGGACUGAGAGGUUGAACGGCCACAUUGGGACUGAGACACGGCCCAGACUCCUACGGGAGGCAGCAGUGGGGGAUAUUGCACAAUGGGGGAAACCCUGAUGCAGCAACGCCGCGUGAAGGAAGAAGGUCUUCGGAUUGUAAACUUCUGUCCUCAGGGAAGAUAAUGACGGUACCUGAGGAGGAAGCUCCGGCUAACUACGUGCCAGCAGCCGCGGUAAUACGUAGGGAGCAAGCGUUGUCCGGAUUUACUGGGUGUAAAGGGUGCGUAGGCGGAUCUGCAAGUCAGUAGUGAAAUCCCAGGGCUUAACCCUGGAACUGCUAUUGAAACUGUGGGUCUUGAGUGAGGUAGAGGCAGGCGGAAUUCCCGGUGUAGCGGUGAAAUGCGUAGAGAUCGGGAGGAACACCAGUGGCGAAGGCGGCCUGCUGGGCCUUAACUGACGCUGAGGCACGAAAGCAUGGGUAGCAAACAGGAUUAGAUACCCUGGUAGUCCAUGCCGUAAACGAUGAUUACUAGGUGUGGGUGGUUGACCCAUCCGUGCCGGAGUUAACACAAUAAGU
rnacentral:rRNA from 1 species